rfam:Oryza glumipatula chromosome 8, whole genome shotgun sequence.
UAUAAGUUUGGUUGUGAUUUUUUUUCUCCAACGUUUGACCAUCUGUCUUAUUUGAGAAAAAAAAUAUGAUUAGUAUUUUUAUUGUUAUUAGAUGAUAAAACAUGAAUAAUACUUUAUGUGUGACUUUUAUAAUUUUUUUUAAAAUUUUUUUAAAUAAGACGGACGGUCAAAUGUUAAACAUAGAAACCCACACCUGCACUUAUU